UACGUAGGUGGCAAGCGUUGUCCGGAUUUACUGGGCGUAAAGAGCGCGCAGGCGGUCGUUCAAGUCGCGUGUGAAAGCCCCCGGCUCAACUGGGGAGGGUCACGCGAUACUGAUCGACUGGAAGGCAGGAGAGAGUAGUGGAAUUCCCGGUGUAGUGGUGAAAUGCGUAGAUAUCGGGAGGAACACCAGUGGCGAAGGCGACUACCUGGCCUGUUCUUGACGCUGAGGCGCGAAAGCUAGGGGAGCAAACAGG
rnacentral:rRNA from 1 species